UGUGUGGCAGAGAUAGUGAGAGAGUGAUGGCAAUUAGCUUCUGAGCUUCUGAGCUAGUAGUAGCGAAUCAAGAGGCAUAUAGUGAGUGUGAGAGCAGUUCUUGACUUUCUGUUGCCCAGCCACCUCGGAGAGAAGACGGCGAGAAAAUCAACACAUAUACUGCAGCGUUUCGUAGCUUUGGAGAGGACGACAGAGAACCAGCUAGUGCACUUGGUGACCAGGUAAAGCCCAGCUGCACCUCUGGCGACGUGGGAGGAGAGAGGCUCUUUUCACCUGACUGUUCAAGGACCGUUUACCGCGGACCCGUGGUCUCCGCCGACAAGGACUGAGACUAGUAACGUUACCGAGAUUACCUAAACGUCAGCGGGCUACAGGGUUUGGGGAAAGAACGACACUUCUGUGGCUGUAACUCUGCUGAGGCUCCUAAAACCAGACGGAGCUCAAUGGUUUCUAGGAAACACUGCGAAGGGUGGACAUCAACUCUCAGAGAAGAAUGUUAGAAAGCAAUGAAACCUCAUGGAGGACAAUAUGCUCAUCGGGGGCGCAAACGACUGUCCUCUCUCUCGGAUCAAACCCGUGUACAAAGCAAAGCAGAGAAAGAUAUUUAACUCCUUGCUGAAAACAAAUGUAAAUCAAAAUAUACCUUUUACACAAAACUGCAAAGUCAGUGUGUUAGUGAUACAAAGAGAGAGAAGGAAAAUGGAGAAAAAGAGGAAAAAAAUAUGGGCCUGCAGAGACAUGACUAUUGCAUGUGAUUUCAUUGUCCCUCUGUGAGAAUGACCGAAUGAGCUGUGCACUUGUAAUUAUUUGUCACACACGUGUUUUUUUAUGGAUAGAAGCACUGUGGAGUGUUAUGACACACAACACAGACCGUGUUAAGUAUUUGUGUGAAUUUGAGCAUAUGUGUGCGUGCGUGUGUAAAUAAACAUCGCUGCUUUGAA